AUGUUUCAGAACUUCAGAGAACUACUGGAGUUUUCAGACCUCUGUCAAGAAUAUGGGGCUAAUCUUCAGCUCUGGUGCAAGAGCACUUCGUACAGAGCCUCAAAUUUAUCAGUGGUUUUAAAGACAAUGCAAAUAGAAACAUCCUCCAUAGAAAAGCUGAGAAAUACAAUCCUAUACAGGUAAGAUGCGCUGAUGGUAGGACAUGGGCAAGGCCUUGGAAUUCCCAGCAGAAGUCACCUUGAAGACCGGGAUUGUCAGUCCAAUGCAGAGAAAUAUGGAAUAAAGCACAUCUGACAUACUUGACA
rnacentral:lncRNA from 1 species